AUUCCAGCUCCAGUAGCGUAUAUUAAAGUUGUUGCAGUUAAAAAGCUCGUAGUUGGAUUUCUGAUAGUAGCGUUGCAUGUUCGCUCCUUUCAUCCUUCUAGAGAACGGUUCUCUCCUUCAUUGGCAGUGGGAUCGCAAUCUAGAUCUUUUACUUUGAAAAAAUUAGAGUGUUUAAAGCAGGCUUGUGCUAUGAAUACAUUAGCAUGGAAUAAUAAUUUAGGACUUUAGUUCUAUUUUGUUGGUUUCUAGAACUGAAGUAAUGAUUGAUAGGGAUAGUUGGGGGUGCUAGUAUUCAGCGGCCAGAGGUGAAAUUCUUGGAUUCGCUGAAGACUAACUUAUGCGAAAGCAUUCACCAAGGAUGUCUUCAUCA
rnacentral:rRNA from 1 species